rnacentral:rRNA from 1 species
GAUGAACGCUGGCGGCGUGCCUAAUACAUGCAAGUCGAGCGAACAGACGAGGAGCUUGCUCCUCUGACGUUAGCGGCGGACGGGUGAGUAACACGUGGAUAACCUACCUAUAAGACUGGGAUAACUUCGGGAAACCGGAGCUAAUACCGGAUAAUAUAUUGAACCGCAUGGUUCAAUAGUGAAAGACGGUUUUGCUGUCACUUAUAGAUGGAUCCGCGCCGCAUUAGCUAGUUGGUAAGGUAACGGCUUACCAAGGCAACGAUGCGUAGCCGACCUGAGAGGGUGAUCGGCCACACUGGGACUGAGACACGGUCCAGAAUCCUACGGGGGGCAGCAGUAGGGAAUCUUCCGCAAUGGGCGAAAGCUUGACGGAGCAACGCCGCGUGAGGGAUGAAGGUCUUCGGAUCGGAAAACUCUGUUAUUAGGGAAGAACAAAUGUGUAAGUAACUAUGCACGUCUUGACGGUACCUAAUCAGAAAGCCACGGCUAACUACGUG